rnacentral:piRNA from 1 species
UAGGACCUGAUGGGACUUCCAUUUUUAA